UGGUUUUCUGUUUCUGUGUUAGUUUGCUGAGUAAAAUGGUUUCAAGCUCCAUCCUUGUCCCUGCAAAGGACAUGACCUUGUGCCUUUUUAAGCAGCCAGCCUUAUUAAGUGUUAUCUGUUUGUCCUCUGAGAUUUCUAGAGCUAUUAGUCUGUCUAAAUUGAGGCCAAUUAAAGAAUUGCAAUGGUGUUUCUAGAGUCUUUGUUGGUGGCCAGGACAGUUAGUCUGGGACACGAGGGAGUCAAGAGCCAACUCGGGCAGAGGGAUUGUCUGCACUAGGACAUUUGUGUUAAAAAGAGAGGACUUGUUUGUUUAUGGGAAGAUUUCCAUAAAGAUGAUCUUCUGAGUGAAGGCUGGACUUUAAGAUGAAAUGAGAGACAGUAUUGGUAGAAGAAGAGAACUUAAGUUUUGCAGCCACAUCAGUUUCUGAUUAGACUUACAAUUAAAGUGGGGAAGUGACUUUGGAAGAGACAUGCGUGCUGUCAGCAGAUGGGAGAGAGGAUCGAGAAAGAUGGAGGGAGGCUGCUGUAACACCUGUUCUGGUUGGGAUUCUGAAUGAAUAUGAAAGUGGCUCUCCCUGUGAGAGGAGUAUGCUUCCUGAUCACUGAAGGCUGACUAGGCGAUGCAGAAGGUGCUGUCAGCCACGAAGGCACUGAUGGAGAACCAGCAUCAAGCAGUACAGUGGCCCCAGAUUUUGCUGAAGAAAGAAAGCACAAUAGGACAAAAAGAAGGGUCAUUUGUCUCUCAUGAUAUUUGUCAAAAAAUAGAGCUAGCUAUGGAGAGAUGGGAGGUGCCAACAGGUAAGUCCUCCACAUGUAUCUGAAGUAACAGCUGUAGGCUUCAGAAGAGGUGGGGUAAAUGUCUUUGGUGUAGUACAGAAGCUACAACUCAUUUAAUUCUACAUAUGUGUUGAAUUACAAGAAACUGAGAUACAUACUGAAAGUGAGGACUAUGUGAGUCUAAGGGAAGUUGUCACUAACUUGAAACAUCAGUGGAAUCUUCAGAAAUAUCAACUAUGCAGAGGAGAGGGAGAGAGGAUGAUUUGAAAUGAUGGGUCCAUAGUUUGAGAUGCCAAUCUGACAAUGUAACUCUCCUUCUGUGUGCAGGUGCAUUUGUGUGUAGGUGUACGCCUUUGGGGUAGGAUAGAGAGUAGGCAGAGCCUGCAGCUCUGAAUGAAUAGGUUAGAAACUACUGAUUUGGCCAUGAAGAGGCCACCAUAGAGAUCUCAUAUAUAAUGGAGGCAACAUCUGAAACUUGGUUCUAAAAGACCUAAGAUUGUUGGGACUUUGAAACUUGGAAAUCUAUUAUUUCCAAAUAGGCAGCAUUUCUUUCUUUCUUUUUUUUUUUUUUUUUUUUUGUUUUUUUCCUCAAUAGUUGAAGAAGUUUGUUAUCUGGAGCAGACUGUUCUUUUUUUCCAAGUGACCAGCUGAAAGAGCUUUAUUAUGACACACAAAGCAAACUCCACUGCCAACCAUUUAUAUUGGUUAUAGAUAGCCCAUGUUAAUAUAUCCAAAAAUAAGCUUUGAGCUUAGAUGAGAAUGAAGCGGUCAUAGCAAGGCAGAAUAUCAAUUCUAGUCACUCAGUCCA